rnacentral:rRNA from 1 species
CCUACGGGUGGCAGCAGUGGGGAAUAUUGCACAAUGGGGGAAACCCUGAUGCAGCGACGCCGCGUGAGUGAAGAAGUAUUUCGGUAUGUAAAGCUCUAUCAGCAGGGAAGAAAUAUCGACCUUUGGGUCGCCAGCCGGUACCUGACUCAGAAGCCCCGGCUAACUACGUGCCAGCAGCCGCGGUAAUACGUAGGGGGCAAGCGUUUUCCGGAUUUACUGGGUGUAAAGGGGGCGUAGCCGGCAGCACAAGUCUGAAGUGAAAUGCCGGGGCUUAACCCCGGAACUGCUUUGGAAACUGUGAAGCUAGAGUGCAGGAGAGGUAAGUGGAAUUCGUAGUGUAGCGGUGAAAUGCGUAGAUAUUAGGAGGAACACCAGUGGCGAAGGCGGCUUACGGGACUGUAACUGACGUUGAGGCUCGAAAGCGUGGGUAGCAAACAGGAUUAGAUACCCCGGUAGUC